CUUGGCGUCCGGGUUGUUCUGCAUGAGCAGGUUGCCAGCCGCAUGCAUGAGAUGGGUCUUACCCAGGCCCGUGCCGCCAUA
rnacentral:antisense_RNA from 1 species